AUUGAACGCUAGCGGGAUGCCUUACACAUGCAAGUCGAACGGAGUGGCGAACGGGUGAGUGAUGUAUCGGAACGUGCCCAGUAGCGGGGGAUAACUACGCGAAAGCGUAGCUAAUACCGCAUACUAUUGGAGCGGCAGAUAUCGGAUUAGCUAGGUGGUGGGGUAACGGCGCCCCAAGGCGACGAUCCGUAGCUGGUUGGAGAGGACGACCAGCCACACGGGAACUGGGACACGGCCCAGACUCCUACGGGAGGCAGCAUUGGGGAAUUUUGGACAAGGGGCGAAACCCUGAUCCAGCCAUCCCGCGUGUGUGAUGAAGGCCUUCGGGUUGUAAAGCACUUUCAGCAGGAAAGCGGUACCUGCAGAAUAAGCACCGGCUAACUACGUGCCAGCAGCCGCGGUAAUAC
rnacentral:rRNA from 1 species